UGUCGUCAACCACAUACACAACUGAAUGUGAAGACAAUUAUCAAGGACACUUAUGUUUGCUCAAAGCACUUCAGAGAUGGGAAGCCAACUCUGGAAUAUCAGAUCCCAUCCGGGCUCUCGUGUGUGCUGCUCCGAAAAGACACAGACCCUCACCCAAAAAAAGGAACUGUGAUCAGGAGAAAGCCCUCCACAAGUGAACAACACUGACUAUCUGAUACCUGGUAAUCAAAUAAGGAGCCACAAUGGCUCCUGUUGAUGAUGUUGUGGCAUGGGGAGAGUCACUCGACCAACUCCUGGAGUGUAAAAAGGAUCGAGGAUAUAUUCUGCCUUCAAGUUCAUCAAAUCCAAUUGGAGAUAUAUUUAAGGAGAAGGACACUGGCAGAGAUAAGAGACCUAAUCUGAGCUGGCAGGGUAGAUAGGGUGAUUCCAGCCAGCUCUUAUUCAUUUAUAAAGCUGGCACUCACUGAUGGCUUUCACCUGUCCACAUUCCCGGCCUCUAUUUGAGAAUGACUAAAGGGGUAGAUGGGUUAUUUCUCUCUCUGCCGUCUCUCCUCUCUCAUUACUUUCCUGAAAUGAAUUCAUCUGAUCUGUAAUAUCUCAGCCUGUUGUCUCCUGCGUGAAGAUGAACUGUCCUUCUGAAGAUACAUUUUUCCUUCCUGCGUAGUUGCUCCAUUUCCCUUUAGAAGAAACGCAGCGACACAUAUGACAAAUUGGUAAACAAUAUAAAGAAAUAAAUAGCAUGGCAGUUGCAAAUUGAUGGCAUUCAUACACCUUUACAUCUCGAGUUAUUGUAAAGAGUGGACUGUGUUAUGAUUGAAAGCUCAGAUCUGGGCCAGGAGUGAUUUAUAGAUGGAAACAAGCGGCCCCUGGACAUAUUUUGUUUCCUGUCAAUUACUGUCAGAGCACCAGGAGGGAUUUAUGUAAAGCAGUUGUGUGUGUAUAACACUGGUGAUCCCAGUUAGCUGUUUGUUUGUGCUCCCAGAAGACAUGCUAAGUAUUUUACACCUGCGUUAAAAUCACGUCUCAAUGAAAACUCCCGUAAAAAAAUGACACAAUUGAUGAUAAAAAGAAAAAUAUGUGUGCGCAAUUAUAUGAUGCAGAGGCAGUGCACUUAGGGAUGCAGGGUUCGGUUUUGAAGUUAAAAGCGCCUCCAGACAUCCAUCACAAUACCUGGCAGUUUGCUGCACCGUCUGUUUGUCUACCGACUUCAUGGAGCUAACAAGGAUAACAUUGUGACGAGAGAAUGGCUCAACCUUAAGCUAAGACUUUCUCCUAAAACAUACAUUUAGUUUAGUUUACAUCUAUUUUCACCUGAUUUGACCUCCUCUAUGCGCCCAUGUGUGGUUGUAUUUAUGUGGUGAGAAGAACAUGAAAAAGACAGUUUUCAGUAAUCAAGGUUUUCUUGAAACAAGAACAAAACCAGGAAUCUUACAGAGAGGAGACAAAAUGUAAAAUAAAAAAAUAUUAUAUAUUAGUUGAAUACAAGUGUUGAGCAUGGAUGUUCUUUAAGCUCUUGGAUCAGUUUGUCUGAUAACUCAACUUUUUUAAUCUUUCAGCCACAUGUUAUGGUCUUCAUCAUUGAUGAAUAAUGAUACAGGUGUUACAUGAUUACUUGACUCAGUUCCAUUUGCUGAUAGACUUUGAAGUGUCAUUGCAUUUUAUAUGUGAGGUCACACAAAUCUAUUAAAGGUGGGGUAGGUAAUUUUGGA